GACGAACGCUGGCGGCGUGCUUAACACAUGCAAGUCGAACGGAAAGGCCUCUUUCGGGGGGUACUCGAGUGGCGAACGGGUGAGUAACACGUGAGUAACCUGCCCUUGACUUUGGGAUAACUUCAGGAAACUGGGGCUAAUACCGGAUAGGAGCUCCUGCUGCAUGGUGGGGGUUGGAAAGUUUCGGCGGUUGGGGAUGGACUCCCGGCUUAUCAGGUUGUUGGUGGGGUAGUGGCUUACCAAGGCUUUGACGGGUAGCCGGCCUGGGAGGGUGACCGGCCACAUUGGGACUGGGAUACGGCCCAGACUCCUACGGGAGGCAGCAGUGGGGAAUAUUGCACAAUGGGUGGAAGCCUGAUGCAGCAACGCCGUGGGGGGGAUGACGGGCUUCGGGUUGUAAACCGCUUUCGCUCAGGACGAAGCUUUGUGUGACGGUAGUGGGUAAAGAAGCACCGGCUAACUACGUG
rnacentral:rRNA from 1 species